GGGAAUGUGGCUUAGUGGUAGAGUGCUUGCCUAGCAUGCAUGAAGUCCUGGGUUCGAUUCCUCAGUACCA
rfam:Dipodomys ordii contig_56124, whole genome shotgun sequence.